rnacentral:rRNA from 1 species
UCUGGCGUGCUCAGUGCGUCCGAGUUGUAAUCUAUAGAGGCGUUUUCCGUGCCGGACUGUGUCUAAGUCCCUUGGAACAGGGUAUCAAAGAGGGUGAUAAUCCCGUACUUGACACAAUGACCGGUGCUCUGUGAUACGUCUUCUACGAGUCGAGUUGUUUGGGAAUGCAGCUCAAAAUGGGUGGUGAGUUCCAUCUAAAGCUAAAUAUUGGCGAGAGACCGAUAGCGAACAAGUACCGUGAGGGAAAGAUGAAAAGCACUUUGGAAAGAGAGUUAAACAGUACGUGAAAUUGUUGAAAGGGAAACGAUUGAAGUCAGUCGUGACUGAGAGGCUCAGCCGGUUCUGCCGGUGUAUUCCCCUCAGUCGGGUCAACAUCAGUUUUGUUCGGUGGAUAAGGGCAGCUGGAAGGUGGCACCUCCGGGUGUGUUAUAGCCAGCUGUCGCAUACAUCGAAUGAGACUGAGGAAUGCA